rnacentral:rRNA from 1 species
GAUGAACGCUGGCGGCGUGCCUAAUACAUGCAAGUCGAGCGAACGGACGAGAAGCUUGCUUCUCUGAUGUUAGCGGCGGACGGGUGAGUAACACGUGGAUAACCUACCUAUAAGACUGGGAUAACUUCGGGAAACCGGAGCUAAUACCGGAUAAUAUUUUGAACCGCAUGGUUCAAAAGUGAAAGACGGUCUUGCUGUCACUUAUAGAUGGAUCCGCGCUGCAUUAGCUAGUUGGUAAGGUAACGGCUUACCAAGGCAACGAUGCAUAGCCGACCUGAGAGGGUGAUCGGCCACACUGGAACUGAGACACGGUCCAGACUCCUACGGGAGGCAGCAGGAGGGAAUCUUCCGCAAUGGGCGAAAGCCUGACGGAGCAACGCCGCGUGAGUGAUGAAGGUCUUCGGAUCGUAAAACUCUGUUAUUAGGGAAGAACAUAUGUGUAAGUAACUGUGCACAUCUUGACGGUACCUAAGCAGAAAGCCACGGCUAACUACGU